AGUUCCUCAGGAGUGAACACCAGCAGUGACAGUUUUCCAAAGUCUCAUUCCCAUUACUCAGAACUAAGCGACACACACACUCCUCUCUCUGUGGAACUGACUCCAGACUCAGGCAUUGUUGCCACACCACUGCCAUCAGGCCGAUUCAGGUUUGCCUCGUGGCACUGGUUAGAAGAGCAUGAUGUCUGUGGGGACCAGCUGGCCUGUCCCAGGGUCAGAGAGGGGCCAGCAGAAGAGGAGCUGUCUGUUAACAGUGAAGACAUUUUUCU